rnacentral:rRNA from 1 species
GAUGAACGCUAGCGGCAGGCUUAAUACAUGCAAGUCGAACGGUAACAUGAGUAGCAAUACUUGAUGACGAGUGGCGCACGGGUGCGUAACGCGUAUGCAAUCUACCUUCAACUGGUGAAUAGCCCGAAGAAAUUCGGAUUAAUACACCAUAGUAUAUUAGAGUGGCAUCACUUUAAUAUUAAAACUCCGUGUUGAAGAUGAGCAUGCGUGACAUUAGCUAGUUGGCGAGGUAAUGGCUCACCAAGGCUACGAUGUCUAGGGGAUCUGAGA